AUUGAACGCUGGCGGCAUGCCUUACACAUGCAAGUCGAACGGUAACGCGGGGCAACCUGGCGACAAGUGGCGAACGGGUGAGUAAUGCAUCGGAACGUGCCCAGUCGUGGGGGAUAACGCAGCGAAAGCUGUGCUAAUACCGCAUACGAUCUAUGGAUGAAAGCGGGGGACCGCAAGGCCUCGCGCGAUUGGAGCGGCCGAUGUCAGAUUAGGUAGUUGGUGGGGUAAAGGCCUACCAAGCCGACGAUCUGUAGCUGGUCUGAGAGGACGACCAGCCACACUGGAACUGAGACACGGUCCAGACUCCUACGGGAGGCAGCAGUGGGGAAUAUUGGACAAUGGGCGAAAGCCUGAUCCAGCCAUGCCGCGUGUGUGAAGAAGGCCUUCGGGUUGUAAAGCACUUUAAGCGAGGAGGAAUGGCUGAGGGUUAAUAACCUUCAGCAGUGACGUUACUCGCAGAAUAAGCACCGGCUAACUCUGUGCCAGCAGCCGCCGUAAGAC
rnacentral:rRNA from 1 species